rnacentral:rRNA from 1 species
UGAGGAAUAUUGCGCAAUGGGGGCAACCCUGACGCAGCAACGCCGCGUGAGUGAGGAAGGUUUUCGGACCGUAAGGCUCUGUCGAGCGGGAAGAAAUGCAUGGUGGCUAAUAUCCAUCAUGCUUGACGGUACCGCUAAAGGAAGCACCGGCUAACUCCGUGCCAGCAGCCGCGGUAAUACGGGGGGUGCGAGCGUUGCUCGGAAUUAUUGGGCGUAAAGAGCGUGUAGGCGGCCGAAUAAGUCAGAUGUGAAAUCCCUGGGCUUAACCCAGGACGUGCAUUUGAAACUAUUCGGCUUGAGUAGGGGAGAGGAAAGUGGAAUUCCUGGUGUAGAGGUGAAAUUCGUAGAUAUCAGGAGGAACACCGGUGGCGAAGGCGACUUUCUGGCCCUAUACUGACGCUGAGACGCGAGAGCGUGGGUAGCAAACAG